GUUAGUAGGGGUAUUUUCGGUAUUUCACAGUUGGAUGGCAUUUUUUAAAUUAAAACUUGGUUAUUUUGAAAAUUUGUUAAAAAGGUGGGGACAAAAGUGAUAUAUUUGCUGUAGCCAUCAAAUAGACAAAAAGAAAUCAGAUUUAUGUAAAAAAAAAGAAAAAAAAAAGAAAAACUCAACUCAUUCUUCUUCUCACACACGCACCACCGGCCAACACCACAACUCCGUCGCCCGGCCACCGUUUCGGAUGGUCAACCUACCGAGAAGCUUCUCCCGACCCCCACGAGCAUAACCCAAGCGACCUUGCCUCAAACCAUCGCCCGUAGCCACCGGAAUCACGCUUGGAAGCUUGUGGUCACCGUGAAGAAAAAGCUCCGAUCUGGCCAACUCUGGCCACCGCUUAGCAUGCCGUCACCACCAGACUGAGGAGCACCUAGCCCAACCAACUUCCGGCCAAAACAACCCCCGGAUGCCUGAGAUUCGAGUUUGACCCGGUUUUGACCGGCUGGAAUUUCAUUUUCCGGCGACCCUGAAGUUCUAUUCUAACUGGUUUCGUUGUUCUGCACGUGUUGGCGAUGUUUUUGGAUCCAUACGGAUAGCGUUGGAGCAUCUUGGCAAUUUCAUCAUAAAUACGCGUAUACAUAUGAUAUACGUACAGGUGAUCGAGGAGAUUGGACUUGAUACUGUAGACGGUUAAUUAUUUGAUGCACUGCUAUCGAGAUAGGGAUUUCUCACCCUUUUAUUUCGAAAUACUUUUAAGCCACCGAAUUGCUUAAAUGUUGAGACAGGAUCUAGUGCACAGGCUGUGAAUCAGCAGGAGGACGCCUGACGAAGGUGGCCUGUAUAUUAGUUUGUUUUGUGUAUUUACAUGGUACUUGUGUGUGAUAUAUAUAUACACACAUACAUACAUGUAUGGUUAUGUUUUGGGGGUGAACAUGCAUGGAUAUGGGUAUAUAUGCAUGACGUGUUGUUUGCAUUUUCACGUAUGUGUGUGCUAGUUGUAGUAUAGAGAAUUAUGUAAUGGUUGGAUAUGGAUGAUAUAUGAAUGACCGAGAGUGGUAGUUUGUGAUUUUUGGAUGGUUGAUGUUGA